AGUCACCUCAUUUUUUAUUGUGGGUGGGGGAGAGCAAAAGCUUACUCACCUAGUCUUUAAAGGCAAACUGAUGUGGAAAUAUGAAGAAUGGAACUUAAAUGAGAAACUUGAAAGAAAAUGGACUUGACAGAUUCGCCCAAUCCCACCCCUGACCCAUUCGGUGCCAUCCCUUCCUUUCAGCAUGUUCUACUAGGCUUCAUCUUCUGAUGUAUCCACCAUCUACCCCUUGGGCUCUACUCUCUGAAUCUCUAGGCCUAAGAUUCCUGAAAGGGCAAUGGUGGGAAGGGAUGUACUCAGAGUGAGAGUUCCGGGCAUAAGGAGCGACAAGAGGAAAUGGAUGCAGUUCCUAGAGAAGACCUUUGAAUAGCUCUACUGUGAUAGGACUUGGAAGCAUGAAGAUCAUUAUCAGGAUAUGGGAAGACCAUUCAGAUUUCUUUCCGCCUUCUUCUUUUGCCUUGGGCACCAAUAUGUUUCUGGCCAUAUCUAAGAACGCAGGAUCCUAAUAUCCACCCUCUUACAGCUAAGAGAAGCACAACCCACAGGAAAAUAUUCCCGCCCAAGCCCCUUGAAGUGAAUGGGAGCCAUGCAAGGAGCACAACAGUUACGCAGGCUGACUUUCAAACAGUUUGGAUGGAAGGCUAGGUCGCCUGACUCUUCCACA